AGAGUUGAUCAUGGCUCAGGAUGAACGCUAGCGACAGGCUAACACAUGCAAGUCGAGGGCAGCAUAAAAGUAGCAAUACGUUGGUGGCGACCGGCGCACGGGUGAGUAACGCGUAUGCAACCUACCUAUCAGGAGGGGAAUAACCCGGCGAAAGUCGGACUAAUACCGCAUAAAACAGGGGCACCGCAUGGUGAUAUUUGUUAAAGAAAUUCGCUGAUAGAUGGGCAUGCGUUCCAUUAGGUAGUUGGUGAGGUAACGGCUCACCAAGCCGACGAUGGAUAGGGGAACUGAGAGGUUGGUCCCCCACACUGGUACUGAGACACGGACCAGACCCCUACGGGAGGCAGCAGUGAGGAAUAUUGGUCAAUGGGCGGGAGCCUGAACCAGCCAAGUCGCGUGAAGGAAAGAAGGAUCUAUGGUUCGUAAACUUCUUUUGCAGGGGAAUAAAGUGCAGGACGUGUCCUGUUUUGUAUGUACCCUGAGAAUAAGGAUCGGCUAACUCCGUGCCAGCAGCUGC
rnacentral:rRNA from 1 species